CCUUUUGGCGCGUGCUUACACAUGCAGUCGAACGAUGAUGCCCAGCUUGCUGGGCGGAUUAGUGGCGAACGGGUGAGAAAUACGUGAGUAACCUGCCCUUGACUCUGGGAUAAGCCUGGGAAACUGGGUCUAAUACUGGAUACUACCUCUUACCGCAUGGUGGGUGGUGGAAAGGGUUUUACUGGUUUUGGAUGGGCUCACGGCCUAUCAGCUUGUUGGUGGGGUAAUGGCUCACCAAGGCGACGACGGGUAGCCGGCCUGAGAGGGUGACCGGCCACACUGGGACUGAGACACGGCCCAGACUCCUACGGGAGGCAGCAGUGGGGAAUAUUGCACAAUGGGCGGAAGCCUGAUGCAGCGACGCCGCGUGAGGGAUGACGGCCUUCGGGUUGUAAACCUCUUUCAGUAGGGAAGAAGCGAGAGUGACGGUACCUGCAGAAGAAGCGCCGGCUAACUACGUGCCAGCAGCCGCGGUAAUACGUAGGGCGCAAGCGUUGUCCGGAAUUAUUGGGCGUAAAGAGCUCGUAGGCGGUUUGUCGCGUCUGCUGUGAAAGCCCGGGGCUCAACCCCGGGUCUGCAGUGGGUACGGGCAGACUAGAGUGCAGUAGGGGAGACUGGAAUUCCUGGUGUAGCGGUGAAAUGCGCAGAUAUCAGGAGGAACACCGAUGGCGAAGGCAGGUCUCUGGGCUGUUACUGACGCUGAGGAGCGAAAGCAUGGGGAGCGAACAGGAUUAGAUACCCUGGUAGUCCAUGCCGUAAACGUUGGGCACUAGGUGUGGGGGACAUUCCACGUUUUCCGCGCCGUAGCUAACGCAUUAAGUGCCCCGCCUGGGGAGUACGGCCGCAAGGCUAAAACUCAAAGGAAUUGACGGGGGCCCGCACAAGCGGCGGAGCAUGCGGAUUAAUUCGAUGCAACGCGAAGAACCUUACCAAGGCUUGACAUUCACCGGACCGCCCCAGAGAUGGGGUUUCCCUUCGGGGCUGGUGGACAGGUGGUGCAUGGUUGUCGUCAGCUCGUGUCGUGAGAUGUUGGGUUAAGUCCCGCAACGAGCGCAACCCUCGUUCUAUGUUGCCAGCACGUGAUGGUGGGGACUCAUAGGAGACUGCCGGGGUCAACUCGGAGGAAGGUGGGGAUGACGUCAAAUCAUCAUGCCCCUUAUGUCUUGGGCUUCACGCAUGCUACAAUGGCCGGUACAAAGGGUUGCGAUACUGUGAGGUGGAGCUAAUCCCAAAAAGCCGGUCUCAGUUCGGAUUGAGGUCUGCAACUCGACCUCAUGAAGUCGGAGUCGCUAGUAAUCGCAGAUCAGCAACGCUGCGGUGAAUACGUUCCCGGGCCUUGUACACACCGCCCGUCAAGUCACGAAAGUUGGUAACACCCGAAGCCGGUGGCCUAACCCCUUGUGGGAGGGAGCCGUCGAAAGGGGGACCGCCGGU
rnacentral:rRNA from 2 species